AAGCACUGCUUUUGAACCUGAGGUGUCUUUUUUGUAGCUUCACCAGCCAAGCAACAGUGCUAGAGCAUAAGGACUUGUUAUAACUGGAGUUCUUCAGCUCUCAACUGAACUGCCUCUUUAAAAACAAUGCACUUUU